CGGAAAGAGAGGGAGGCA
rnacentral:tRNA from 1 species